rnacentral:rRNA from 1 species
AGCGGACAGAUGGGAGCUUGCUCCCUGAUGUUAGCGGCGGACGGGUGAGUAACACGUGGGUAACCUGCCUGUAAGACUGGGAUAACUCCGGGAAACCGGGGCUAAUACCGGAUGCUUGUUUGAACCGCAUGGUUCAGACAUAAAAGGUGGCUUCGGCUACCACUUACAGAUGGACCCGCGGCGCAUUAGCUAGUUGGUGAGGUAACGGCUCACCAAGGCGACGAUGCGUAGCCGACCUGAGAGGGUGAUCGGCCACACUGGGACUGAGACACGGCCCAGACUCCUACGGGAGGCAGCAGUAGGGAAUCUUCCGCAAUGGACGAAAGUCUGACGGAGCAACGCCGCGUGAGUGAUGAAGGUUUUCGGAUCGUAAAGCUCUGUUGUUAGGGAAGAACAAGUGCCGUUCAAAUAGGGCGGCACCUUGACGGUACCUAACCAGAAAGCCACGGCUAACUACGUGCCAGCAGCCGCGGUAAUACGUAGGUGGCAAGCGUUGUCCGGAAUUAUUGGGCGUAAAGGGCUCGCAGGCGGUUUCUUAAGUCUGAUGUGAAAGCCCCCGGCUCAACCGGGGAGGGUCAUUGGAAACUGGGGAACUUGAGUGCAGAAGAGGAGAGUGGAAUUCCACGUGUAGCGGUGAAAUGCGUAGAGAUGUGGAGGAACACCAGUGGCGAAGGCGACUCUCUGGUCUGUAACUGACGCUGAGGAGCGAAAGCGUGGGGAGCGAACAGGAUUAGAUACCCUGGUAGUCCACGCCGUAAACGAUGAGUGCUAAGUGUUAGGGGGGUUUCCCGCCCCUUAGUGCUGCAGCUAACGCAUUAAGCACUCCGCCUGGGGAGUACGGUCGCAAGACUGAAACUCAA